rnacentral:rRNA from 1 species
UACAGAGGGUGCGAGCGUUAAUCGGAAUUACUGGGCGUAAAGCGCACGUAGGUGGCGACGUAAGUCGGGUGUGAAAGCCCCGGGCUCAACCUGGGAAUUGCAUUCGAGACUGCAUUGCUGGAGUACGGAAGAGGAAGGCGGAAUUCCCGGUGUAGCGGUGAAAUGCGUGGAUAUCGGGAGGAACAUCAGUGGCGAAGGCGGCCUUCUGGUCCAGUACUGACACUCAAGUGCGAAAGCGUGGGGAGCAAACAGG